UCUACGGCAGCCAUCUUUGAUGUGGGCAAAGUACUCCGCUGCACACUGAGCCGUCCUUCCCCUGCGAGACAGCCUAGGGCUGAGGACGCGGCGGCCGGGCUUGGUUUCCAUGAUGGUGGCCGCCCGGCCGAGGCGACGGCUCCUGCUGUUGAGGAGGCGUCAAGCAGCAGCGGCAGCCCGGUUGCUGGGCAUCCUGUGGCUGGCGUGUGUCGCCGCGGAGGGCGUUGCCGGCGGGGAGCCUCCGCUCAAGUGCGACGAGCUGAGGCUGGGGCAAUAUAUUUGUGAAGAUCCCAGAAUAGACAAUAUCACACAAGAACCACUGAAUUGUACAAAUCACACAGCAUACGUUCCAUGUCAUCCAGCACCAAAUAUUACUUGUAAGGAUCACAGUGGCAAUGAAAACAACUUUACUGGAAAGGAAGUUGGAUUUUACAAACCUAUUGCAUGUCGUAAUGUAAAUGGUUACUCAUACAAAGUGGCAGUGGCUCUGUCUUUAUUUCUUGGAUGGUUGGGAGCAGAUAGAUUUUAUCUUGGGUAUCCUGCCUUAGGUUUGUUAAAGUUCUGCACUGUAGGGUUUUGUGGAAUUGGUAGCCUAAUUGAUUUCAUUCUCAUUUCAAUGCAGAUUGUUGGACCUUCGGAUGGCUCUAGUUACAUUAUAGAUUACUACGGAGCAAGGCUUACCAGGCUGAGUAUUACCAAUGAGACAUUCAGAAAAACACAGAUGUAUCCUUAAGUCUGGCAGGAAGUAUCAUGUAUACACAGCUUCAUUUAGCCCAUUUCUGGAUCCACUGCCCUUCCUGUUGCUUCUGCUGCAAUUUCUAUCACUGUUCUAUACACACAAUGAUGUUGGGAACAUUACAGUUGUGUGCUUAAACAUUCAAUUGGGAAAAUGUCAAAGAUAAGGUUGCACAGGCAAUGAGACCUCUUUCAAACCCCUUGCAUUUACUGAGAGGAAGACAUACGGAAAACAUGUAAUGGGAAGCCACUGUCUGCUAAGGACCUGACUGAUACCAACGUCUGUGUGACUGACUGUCCCUGCAUAGUCUGAAGAGAGCAGGACUACCCCACUGUAUGGCAAUAGCAGAAGCCGGGGAAAGGAGGAAUCUUUAUCUUUUAGGGCUGUCAUUUCAUGAUCUCAUCCACUGUAGCCCUAUUAAGAGGAUGAUGUGCACUACUUUUCAGUUAUUUUGUUAAAUAAGCAUGAGCAAUGAACAUCAUGCUAACAGACAAUUCCUAGUAUCUAAUACAGUAUCUUGAAUUUAAAAGCAUGUGGCAAUGUAAGUGUAUAUCUGGGAAGUAUGGGGGCUGGGAAGAAAAGUGACUGACUUGACAUUCGCUGUCUUUCUCCCAGCUCCUUUGCAAAAGUAGGAACAGAAUCAGAAUAAAAAAUGUUUGUUUUACAGCUGUACCAAGUUAUAGCACACUCUCUCUCCUCCUUCCCACUUGCAUCAAGUACAUCCUGUACUUUUGGCAACAUGUUGACUGGAUAUUUAAAAGCUGUGAACUGUUCUGAAAGUUUCACAUACAGGGUUAUGAGCCAUGUGUGUUUGAUCAAAAUUCAAUUACUGCACUGUACCAUGCUUGGAAACCUAUCAUCCCAGGUUAUGAAGUAUGACGAAAUAGGCUAAUCUAAUUGGUUCAGUAUGGGAGCAGUAUCAACCAAGCUUGUUAUGAUAAAUAGCUUCCUGUGUUAAAGGUUCUCUAGAGCUUAAGUAUCUUGGCUCACCUCCUUCCAUAAAAUAAGAAUAUUGUUCCCUGAGAACAGUUACAUCACUGUCCCUCUUCUACAAUCAGAAUUAAGGGGUUGUAGAAUUUUUCAUUUUGCUACUCCUUGAAAAUAUAAACAAUGGAUGGAUAUCUGCCCCAUUUCCCACCUCCCCACUUCUACCUCUUCUCCCCUCACUGCCCUCUCCCCUCCUCCAGCCAAGACUAGAUCAUCUUGCACUCACCCUGGUUGUUGGAUCUGUUUUACUACUGUUUGAGACAAUCCCAAAGAGGGCAUUAAACUUGCCAUGGGCUGGAGUUUGGGGGUUGUAUGGUUUUGUAUUUGGGGGAGUAGAGUUAAAUGGUGAAGUAUCUAAUAAAACUGCCUUGUGACAAUGAA